UCUGUCAUCCAUCGUCCAACUCGUCUCAUGGUCUGGUUCAACGUCAGCUGCGCCAGCUCGGGAGAUCUCUCCGUGAUCACCGCCGCCACGUCAUCAGCGUAGGCGACGAGGGUCACUCCGAGUGGCAUCCCAAGCCGAAGCAGACUAUCGUAUAGACCAUUCCGAAAAUCGGGUCCCAGUAUCGACCCCUGAGCCACCCAAGCGGUGACCUGUCUCGUUACCUGUCCUUCGAUCGUCUCGUACGUUAUUCGUCUGUUUCUCAGAUAAUCCUCCACAACCCGAACCAGGUACGGUGGGAUCCGGAAGUUACUUUUCAGCGCCUCCAGGAUAUCCACCCACCUGGCCGAGUUAAAAGCAUUUCUGAUGUCGAGCGUCGCUAGCAGCACAAUGGGUCGCGCCGCAUGGCAGUGUCUGUCUAGUUCCAGGAAAGAAUCAAUCACCUUUUGGAUCGCUCCAAUCGUCGACCGACUCCUCCUGAAGCCGAAUUACAAAUCUAAGAGACCCCCUCCGGCCUGUAUCGCGUCCGUCAGUCUCGGUCUGAGUAAUUGUUCAAAGAGUUUACCAGUAGUGUCAAGUAAACUCAACGGUCGGUAGGCCGAAGGAGUGCCAGGGUCGCCCUUACCUUUUGGAAUAAGAACGAGCCUCGCCUCCUUCCACCGAUCGCUGAACGUUCCUGUCGUCAAGCACGACAUUGUCUGUAACAAAGCCACAUCGAGCAUCGGUACUCAGUAUUAGCAACCAAAACACCCGGUGAGAUAGCCGCGGAGGGGAAAGGCACGCGGACGAGAAAUAGAAGCAAACAGGGCGAGCGAUCUCUCUGAUCGCUUUACCUGUCACAAGCGGACAAAAAUACGAAAGAAAUGAUACUGGAAGGAAAGCUUGUCUCCUACCUAGUACUCCAGUUCAACAGGUGUUGCCGGGGCGUCGUGGCUUCAAUGACAGGUCGAAGCGCUAGACUCGCACACCUAAACCUGAAACUCAAGGGAUCGGCAGGGUGGCAAAGCAGAGAGAGAGAGAGAGAAAGAGAAAGCGAGAAGCCAAUUUAAGAGAGACAAAAGGUAGGCAACGGUACUUACAAAUCGUUGCCCCGAAGAUGGUUAGCAGCAGGCGUUCAACAACAAAAAGGGCCUCCAAAGAGGUAGGCGCAGGUGGCAAAAGGCCGUCGCACGCACACAGUUAUUACGAACAAUGCUUCUCCCACACACAGACACUGUCCUCUCUUUCCUGUCCUUCGACUCUCCAAGCUCUCCUCUCCUGGGUGUCGCAGCCCGUCUUGUCGCCGAAAAUUUGA